AGAAACACCAGUUCCCGUACUAUCACCAAAGUUAAUCAAUGUCAAGCCUGGCCAGUACCUAAAUCGGUGACUGCUUGGGAAUAUCAGGUGCUGUAAGC